GAGAUGGAUUGGUGCCUUCGGGAACGUCUGACACAGGUGCUGCAUGGCUGUCGUCAGCUCGUGUCGUGAGAUGUUGGGUUAAGUCCGUAACGAGCGCAACCCUUGUCCUUAGUUACCAGCACGUUAUGGUGGGCACUCUAAGGAGACUGCCGGUGACAACCGGAGGAAGGUGGGGGAUGACGUCAAGUCAUCAUGGCCCUUACGGCCUGGGCUACACACGUGCUACAAUGGUCGGUACAAAGGGUUGCCAAGCCGCGAGGUGGAGCUAAUCCCAUAAAACCGAUCGUAGUCCGGAUCGCAGUCUGCAACUCGACUGCGUGAAGUCGGAAUCGCUAGUAAUCGUGAAUCAGAAUGUCACGGUGAAUACGUUCCCGGGCCUU
rnacentral:rRNA from 1 species